UACAGAGGCCCCAAGCGUUACUGAGAAUCACUGGGUUUAAAGGGUGCGUAGGUGGCGCGUUAAGUCCGUUGUGAAAUCCCUUGGCUCAACCGAGGAACGUCGAUCGAUACUGCUGUUCUUGAGGAUUGCAGAGGAGACUGGAAUUCCCGGUGUAGCGGUGAAAUGUGUAGAGAUCGGGAGGAACACCGGUGGCGAAGGCGGGUCUCUGGGCAGUUCCUGACACUGAGGCACGAAGGCCAGGGGAGCAAACGGG
rnacentral:rRNA from 1 species